AACACAUGCAAGUCGAGGGGCAUCAGGGAGAAAGCUUGCUUUCUUUGCUGGCGACCGGCGCACGGGUGAGUAACGCGUAUCCAACCUUCCCCCCAGUAGGGCAUAGCCCGGCGAAAGUCGGAUUAAUACCCUAUGUUCUUCGUAGAGGACAUCUGAAAUGAAGCAAAGGUUUACCGCUAGGGGAUGGGGAUGCGUCCGAUUAGGUUGUUGGCGGGGUAACGGCCCACCAAGCCCGCGAUCGGUAGGGGUUCUGAGAGGAAGGUCCCCCACACUGGUACUGAGACACGGACCAGACUCCUACGGGAGGCAGCAGUGAGGAAUAUUGGUCAAUGGGCGUAAGCUGAACCAGCCAAGUAGCGUGCAGGACGACGGCCCUAUGGGUUGUAAACUGCUUUUAUGCGGGGAUAAAGUGAGGUAUGUAUACCUUUUUGUAGGUACCGCAUGAAUAAGGACCGGCUAAUUCCGUGCCAGCAGCCGCGGUAAUACGGAAGGUCCGGGCGUUAUCCGGAUUUAUUGGGUUUAAAGGGAGCGCAGGCGGGGAGCUAAGCGUGACGUGAAAUGUAGCCGCUCAACGGCUGAACUGCGUCGCGAACUGGCUUUCUUGAGUGAGUACGACGUCAGCGGAAUUCGUGGUGUAGCGGUGAAAUGCUUAGAUAUCACGAAGAACCCCGAUUGCGAAGGCAGCUGACGAGUCCUUUACUGACGCUAAAGCUCGAAGGUGCGGGUAUCGAACAGGAUUAGAUACCCUGGUAGUCCGCACGGUAAACGAUGGAUGCCCGCUGUCGGCGAUACAAUGUCGGCGGCCAAGCGAAAGCGUUAAGCAUCCCACCUGGGGAGUACGCCGGCAACGGUGAAACUCAAGGGAAUUGACGGGGGCCCGCACAAGCGGAGGAACAUGUGGUUUAAUUCGAUGAUACGCGAGGAACCUUACCCGGGCUUGAACUGCAGGAGAAGGAUACAGAGAUGUUGACGCCUUCGGGGCUCCUGUGGAGGUGCUGCAUGGUUGUCGUCAGCUCGUGCCGUGAGGUGUCGGCUUAAGUGCCAUAACGAGCGCAACCCCUGCCUACAGUUGCCAUCAGGUCAUGCUGGGCACUCUGUGGGGACUGCCACCGCAAGGUGUGAGGAAGGUGGGGAUGACGUCAAAUCAGCACGGCCCUUACGUCCGGGGCUACACACGUGUUACAAUGGGUGGUACAGAGAGUCAGGUGCUGGCAACAUCACCUUAAUCUACAAAGCCAUCCUCAGUUCGGAUUGGGUCUGCAACCCGACCCCAUGAAGCUGGAUUCGCUAGUAAUCGCGCAUCAGCCAUGGCGCGGUGAAUACGUUCCCGGGCCUUGUACACACCGCCCGUCAAGCCAUGAAAGCCGGGGGCGCCUGAAGUCCGUGACCGCGAGGGUCGGCCUAGGGUGAAACCGGUGAUUGGGGCUAAGUCGUAA
rnacentral:rRNA from 1 species